rnacentral:rRNA from 1 species
UACGGAGGGAGCUAGCGUUGUUCGGAUUUACUGGGCGUAAAGCGCACGUAGGCGGCGCAGCAAGUCAGGGGUGAAAUCCCGGAGCUCAACUCCGGAACUGCCUUUGAAACUGCAGUGCUAGAAUCCUGGAGAGGCGAGUGGAAUUCCGAGUGUAGAGGUGAAAUUCGUAGAUAUUCGGAAGAACACCAGUAGCGAAGGCGACUCGCUGGACAGGUAUUGACGCUGAGGUGCGAAAGCGUGGGGAGCAAACAGG